GAUCAUUUGAAGACAAAAUAAGCCACCGAGGCGGCUCUUUGAUUGGAUAUGAGCCUCAUGAAUAUGUAUUUUAUCGAUAGUAUCGUUUAAGAAACCGGAUAAUAUAUUUGACCUCAUUGCGUCACUUUAAUUAUGCAGAUUUAUGCACGACGCAGGCUACUCGCACAAACUGAGAAGAUUUAGUUCAUUGAGAAUGGAUGGAAACUGAUGAAGAGCUGGAAGGAGUUAACUGAUGAGUAGACAUUACAACAUUUCUUAUAUUUUCAAGAUGAAGCUGAAAGUCCCAUGCAGGAUGAUGCUUCUCUACAGUGGAUGAUGAAAGCAUGCUGAUUACAAACCCAGGAGAGGAAUAAAGAACAGAUAUUGACAGAAUCAUAUCUAGAGAUGUGGGCCUACUGCACUUCAUACAAGCAAGUGUGCUAAUAUACCAUGUAGGUACCCCCAAUAAACUAUUGUAGAACACAUUUAUCAUGCAGAAAGUUAUAGAUCUGACAAUUAUAUUUUUCAUUGUCCAUUGACUUGUAAAAGAAUACUUGACUGAAUAUCACAAUUGUGAUUUAGAUUAAAACUAAAAUGUCAAUAUACAUGAAAUAUAAGUCUACAUAACGUAUGUUUCAAUAGCAUUAUUUCCUGUACAUUCUCUGUUCCAAGUUGUUUGGUCAUUUUAUGUAAACCGAGUAUUAUUCAUUUAUGACCACGAGUUUACAUUACAAGUACAUUGUACAUGUACCAGUAUUACUUAUUUCAUACUUGUCUGAUCCAAGCUCCAUCAGGCCUAUUGUCUUAAUGGGAUCAUCAGAAAUAAUCUAACAUGUGGUCAGUAACUAGUCU